rnacentral:rRNA from 1 species
UACGAAGGGGGCUAGCGUUGCUCGGAAUCACUGGGCGUAAAGGGUGCGUAGGCGGGUUUUUAAGUCAGGGGUGAAAUCCUGGAGCUCAACUCCAGAACUGCCUUUGAUACUGAGAAUCUUGAGUACGGGAGAGGUGAGUGGAACUGCGAGUGUAGAGGUGAAAUUCGUAGAUAUUCGGAAGAACACCAGUGGCGAAGGCGGCUCACUGGCCCGGUACUGACGCUGAGGUGCGAAAGCGUGGGGAGCAAACAGG